rnacentral:rRNA from 1 species
GUUGAACGCUGGCGGUAGGCUUAACACAUGCAAGUCGAGCGGGGUGGUGGUGCUUGACCUAGCACUUAGCGGCGGACGGGUGAGUAAUGCUUUGGAACCGGCCUAUCAGUGGGGGACAAUACCUCGACAGGGAUGCUAAUACCGCAUACGUCCUACGGGAGAAAGCAGGGGAUCACUAGUGCCAUUGUGCUACUAGAUGAGCCUGGGUCGGAUUAGCUAGUUGGUGGGGUAAAGGCCUGCCAAGGGGAUGAUCUGUGGAGGGUCUGAGAGGAUGGUCCGCCGCACUGGGACUGAGACACGGCCCAGACUCAUACGGGAGGCAGGAGUGGGGAAUAGUUGACAAUGGGGGGGACCCUGAUCCAGCAAUGCAGCGUGUGUGAAGAAGGCCUUAUGGUUGUAAAGCACUUUAAGCGAGGAGGAGGCUCUUUUGGUUAAUACCCAAGAUGAGUGGACGUUACUCGCAGAAUGAGCACCGGCUAACUCUGUGCCAGCCGCCGCCGUAA